rnacentral:rRNA from 1 species
GACGAACGCUGGCGGCGUGCUUAACACAUGCAAGUCGAACGGAAAGGCCCUUCGGGGUACUCGAGUGGCGAACGGGUGAGUAACACGUUGGUGAUCUGCCCUGCACUUUGUGAUAAGCCUGGGAAACUGGGUCUAAUACCCAAUUGGACCACGAGCUCCUUGGUGAGUGGUGUAAAGCUUGUGCGGUGUGGGUUGGGCACGCGGCAUAUCAGCUUGUUGGUGGGGUAAUGGCCUACCAAGGCGACGACGGGUAGCCGGCCUGAGAGGGUGACCGGCCACAAUGGGACUGAGAUACGGCCCAGACUCCUACGGGAGGCAGCAGUGGGGAAUAUUGCACAAUGGGCGCAAGCCGUAUGCAGCGACGCCGCGUGGGGGAUGACGGCCUUCGGGUUGUAAACCUCGUUCAAUAGGGACGAAGCGCAAGUGACGGUACCUAUAGAAGAAGCACCGGCCAACUACGUG